rnacentral:rRNA from 1 species
UACGUAGGGUGCAAGCGUUGUCCGGAAUUAUUGGGCGUAAAGAGCUCGUAGGCGGUUUGUCGCGUCUGCUGUGAAAACCCGAGGCUCAACCUCGGGCCUGCAGUGGGUACGGGGCAGACUAGAGUGCGGUAGGGGAGAUUGGAAUUCCUGGUGUAGCGGUGGAAUGCGCAGAGUAUCAGGAGGAACACCAAUCGGCGAAGGCAGAUCUCUGGGCCGUAACUGACGCUGAGGAGCGAAAGCAUGGGGAGCGAACAGG